AAUAAUUGCAAAUAUAUUUAUUACAAUUUACAGAUUAGUUAUGUUAUAUACACAAAUAUAAUUUUAACUAUAAAAUCCCAACUAGUUACAUUUAAAUUAUUGAUCUGUAGAAGCCAAUUUAGAGUCUUCUAGUCCCCUAACUUUACCUUCCUUAAAUUAUACAAAAAUAAAAUCUGAUAGUUUUGAUUUCAAGUUAAAGAUGAAGAAGUGUUACAUUUCAUCACUCAGAAAUGGAACUUUUACCUGUCUGUACAAAGCCUUUUACAUGCUACAUUGACACUUAAAGCACCAUUAACAAGACUUUAAAUGUAUAAAAUGUUUAAUUAAAACCUCCAAAGAUUUUCUCUUUAAGAUUACGGGGGUUUAACUUUGUUCUAACUAGAAUUGGGAUGAAACAAGAAUUUUGCUUUUUUCUCCUUCAGUCCAACUUUAAAAUAGUCCUUUCUGUCCUUCUUAUCACCUUCUGAUCACUUCUUCCAAGGAGGCUAGUAUAUGGAAGAACUCUUAAUCAAGCUUUCACUCAUUUGGUAGUGAGGUUAGAAUCCCAUGGGGAACAAUUUUCCAAAAUCCAAUGAAAGAUGUCUCAUUAUUUUCAAAUACACAGAGGUGCUAGGUUUAAGAAACAGGAAACACAACGUUAAGUCUCGGAAAUAAAAUGUUUCAGCCUGGUUUUAAAAGAAUGCCUGUAUGUUGUCAAAAGGCUUUUUUCAAGGCAAAUGACGCCUGCUUUCCAACCGACAUUGCUGUUGCUUGAAACUAGCCUGUUUUCAUGUUAUUAGACCAUCCUGUAAAUGUGCUCCCUAUGAUUACCUAAAGUGGAGGUGCACAAAACACACAGAAUCCCAGCACUUUGAGAGGCCGAGGCGGGCGGAUCACGAGGUCAGCAGUUCAAGACCAGUCUGGCCAACAUAGCGAAACCCCGUCUCUACUAAAAAGACACAAAAAAUUAGCCGGGCGUGGUGGUGUGUGCCUGUAAUCCCAGCUACUCGGGAGGCUGAGGCAGGAGAAUCGCGUGAACCCAGGAGGCGGAGGUUGCAGUGAGCCGAGAUCGCGCCACUGCACUCCAAGCUGGGGGACCGAACGAGACUCUGUCUCAAAAAAAAAAGAAAAAAACAAAAAACACACAGAAUAAGGGCUCUGCAAAAAUUUGACCAGCUUUUAUAGUGUUGCAUUCUCAAUGUGUUUAAUUAUGAAUAUAUAAACAGUGGAGGCAGUUCUUAGAACUGGAUAGAAAUAAAAUAAUGACCAGGUAGAUUGUAAACUGAGGUAGUAACCCUGUAAGCACUUCUGAUGAAAAAUUCAUCCCCACACUUAAAUAAGUUCAAAACUAAGAGGUCACCUAUUCUACUUAUG
rnacentral:lncRNA from 10 species